UACAGAGGUCCCAAGCGUUGUUCGGAUUCACUGGGCGUAAAGGGUGCGUAGGCGGUCGGGUAAGUCUGUUGUGAAAUCUCCGAGCUUAACUCGGAAACUGCAGUGGAUACUAUCCGACUCGAGGAAUGGAGGGGAGACUGGAGUACUUGGUGUAGCAGUGAAAUGCGUAGAUAUCAAGUGGAACACCAGUGGCGAAGGCGAGUCUCUGGACAUUUCCUGACGCUGAGGCACGAAAGCCAGGGGAGCAAACGGG
rnacentral:rRNA from 1 species